rnacentral:tRNA from 1 species
CAAGAUGUAGCUUAACUAAAGCCCCUCGCUUACACCGAGACGUUCCCUGUAAAACCAAGGCAUUUUGA